GCGACAUGGCCGAGUGGUUAGGCAGAGGUCUGCAAAACCUCGUACGGCGGUUCGAAUCCGCCUGUCGCCU
rnacentral:tRNA from 1 species